GAUGAAGAACGUAGCGAAAUGCGAUACUUGGUGUGAAUUGCAGAAUCCCGUGAACCAUCGAGUCUUUGAACGCAAGUUGCGCCCGAAGCCACUAGGCCGAGGGCACGCCUGCCUGGGCGUCACACGCCGUUGCCCCCCCAUCUACUCCUUCGGGAUUGCGGGGGGGCGGAUGAUGGCCUCCCGUGCGCCUAGCCGCGCGGUUGGCAUAAAUACCAAGUCCUCGGCGACGCACGCCACGACAAUCGGUGGUUGCGAAACCUCGGUUGCCCGUCGUGUGCGUUCGUCGCGCAUCGAGGGCUCGAAAAAAUGCUCGGCUCCGGCUGGGCUUUCAACGCGACCCCAGGUCAGGCGGGGUUACCCGCUGAAUUUAAGAAUAUCAAUAAGCGGAGGA
rnacentral:misc_RNA from 1 species